rnacentral:lncRNA from 1 species
CUUCUUCCUGCUCUCUGCUCUGUCGCUGCCAUGUGAUCCUGGCAAGACAGAACACAUUCUGCGGGUGUCUUAUGAUUAUGGUUGAUAAUUAAGACUGAGAUAGCAGAUAAGAAAUCCUAGUCAUUGGCCACCAGCAUUGUAUCUAAUAUAAGUCUCCAUGUGUUAUUUGGGGCCCUAACACAGCAGGCGGAACUCCAGCAGCUGGCAGAAAGACUUACAUUACAGGGAAGGGGAGACAGAAGAAAAGGAGAGAAAGAAAGGCAUCUAAGAAUAAAUGACCAGGAAAGUGGAGAAGUCUUGCCAGCUGUUUUGAGAUUGUCAAUUCUGUCCCAGUCAGGAAAGUUACACUUAGUGUUUUGAUAAAGCUUGAGGGGGACCUUUCUUGGGGGACCUCAGUGGAUUCCAUGGGGGUUGAGGUUGACCAAGGCAGAGGGACAAACAUGCCAGGCAACAGAGCUUAAGUGAGAAGUUUUAAUAAAAACAGAAGGGAUGGGGAAGGAAGGAGAAAGGAGGUAAAAAGACAUGGAUACAGGACAGAAUAGAAGAGGGAGACAGGAGAAGUCCUGUCUGCCCCAGGGGAGCAGUGGGAAAGAGGAGCGGACAAAGAGAAGGGAGCAGAAAUAGAGCAUAAGUGGUUGGGAGGUCUUUCUUUUAAAGGGAUCCUUUGCACUUGCUUGCAGACUACACACUCAUGGAACCCUGGGCUGACCAGGGUACUGCCUGAGUGCAUUCUGCCAGGUGACAGGGGCAGGCCAGCAUAAUGCCUGAAUCCUAACACCUAGCACAUUUCCACAUGAGAUGUUUACUCAGGAAAAUCAGUUUCCUUCUGCCUGGUUCAUAUUGUAGAAGGUAUCAUUAAGUAUGUCAAACUCCAAAAUGAACGUACAGCUGGGAAUUCAGCACAUUUCACCCAGCCAUGUACAGCUGUGGGCAGCAGCUCACAGGUGUGAACUAGAAACAACUCUUGGAUGGGGCCACAGAGUCCAGUUCUAUCCUGUGACUCUGUUCUUCCAAGUUGGCCUUGAACUCAUAGAGAUCCACUUGCCUCUGCCUCCCACGUGCUGUGAUCAAAGGAGCUGGGAUUACAGGUCUAUGCCAUGAUGGGAAUUGAACCUAGAGCUUCUUGUGUGCUAGGCAAGCACUCUACUAGAUGAGACACCAUGGGAAGAAAACUGGGGUGUUUUGCUCACAGUCUCUU